GAUGAACGCUCGCUACAGGCUUAACACAUGCAAGUCGAGGGGCAGCAUGGUCUUAGCUUGCUAAGGCCGAUGGCGACCGGCGCACGGGUGAGUAACACGUAUCCAACCUGCCGUCUACUCUUGGACAGCCUUCUGAAAGGAAGAUUAAUACAAGAUGGCAUCAUGAGUCCGCAUGUUCACAUGAUUAAAGGUAUUCCGGUAGACGAUGGGGAUGCGUUCCAUUAGAUAGUAGGCGGGGUAACGGCCCACCUAGUCUUCGAUGGAUAGGGGUUCUGAGAGGAAGGUCCCCCACAUUGGAACUGAGACACGGUCCAAACUCCUACGGGAGGCAGCAGUGAGGAAUAGUGGUCAAUGGGCGCAGGCCUGAACCAGCCAAGUAGCGUGAAGGAUGACUGCCCUAUGGGUUGUAAACUUCUUUUAUAAAGGAAUAAAGUCGGGUAUGGAUACCCGUUUGCAUGUACUUUAUGAAUAAGGAUCGGCUAACUCCGUG
rnacentral:rRNA from 1 species